UCUCUCUUGGGAGUCCCAGAGUGCCAGCAGAGGCCAAUGCCUUCUUCAGCUGUCUUCUAUACAAAUCCCUCUGGCAGAAAGACAUGGGGCUCUGGGAAUGGUCCCCGCAUGGGAUAGAAUGCCUUCGAAAAUAGAGUGACAGGCUCUUCCAUCCUUCCUUCCCCUUCCCCUUCCCCCAAAAUAUGCAAGGAAAAAGGAAACAAAUUUUCCGAGCUCCUCAAAGACUUUUGGGAAAAGGCACGUUUCGUAACAACCCCAGCCCCGCUGGAUUAGUAGUUCAAGCUGCGAACUAAAGCUUUGCACGCCAGGAAAGCGGGAUCCAGGGGGUUGGCACUGUGCACCGGGAGAUCCACGGUGCUUGCUUGGAAAGUAAUCCCUGAAAGGUGAUUGGAACUGCAACCGACACCUUAAUGAUCAAGUUUAUUUGUGCAUAAAACACAAAUCUGUAAACAGGUCUACUUUUGCCAGCUCAGACGUGGUAAAUCAAAUCGUGUGUGUGUGUGCUCUCACGCCACAGCCCAGUGAAGAGUUCAAGUUACUGCCGAGCAGAAUCCCUACCGACGAACGGUUUAUUGGGAAAACAAUAGGGAACGGCCCUGUUUCAGAUGUGACCCAACUAAACAGCAACCUGCACCUCGGAGCGGCAGAAACCCGAAAUUCUGCGCUUUCCCCUUUCUGUAACUUUACUCCUUUAUCAGCUCUCUGCUUUUCCUACAGU